rnacentral:tRNA from 1 species
GGUGCUAUGGCUUAGUGGGUAAAGCUGUCGCCUACUGUGCCGGCAUCCCUUAAGGGCCCAGGUUCCAGUCCUGGCUGCUCCA